rnacentral:rRNA from 1 species
CAAUCGUGUAUAUGUGCGUGCCGUUGGCUGGUUGUGAGCCUAUGGUUUGCAGUCGUUAGCGGCGCGCACGGCACCCACCAAAAUAUGGCUGUUGGUUCCAUAUCCGGUGAUGAUUAACAGGAGCGGUUGGGGGCAUCAGUAUUUGGCCGCGAGAGGUGAAAUUCUUAGACCGGCCAAGGACUAACAAAUGCAAAGGCACUUGUCUAGACCGUUUCCAUUAAUCAAGAACGAAAGUGGGAGGUUCGAAGACGAUCAGAUACCGUCGUAGUUCCCACCGUAAACUAUGCCGACCUGGGAUCAGUUUAGAGAUGUUACAAGCUCUAGGUUGGUCCCCCUGGGAAACCUCAAGUUUUUCGGUUACGGGGAGAGUAUGGUCGCAAGGCUGAAACUUAAAGGAAUUGACGGAAGGGCACCACCAGGGGUGGAGCCUGCGGCUUAAUUUGACUCAACACGGGGAAACUUACCUGGUCCGGACAUCGAUAGGAUUAUCAGACUAAUGGCUCUUAUAUGAUCCGAUGAGUGGUGGUGCAUGGCCGUUCUUAGUUCGUGGAGUGAUCUGUCAGCUUAAUUGCGGUAACGAACGAGACCACAGUCACCAUUUAAAAAAUAGAAGAAGGCAUCCGGAAGGCUGGCGCAAGUCGGUCGGCUGGGUGCUGCAGGUAGAGUGUGGUUUUGGGAUGAUUGGCGUGAUGGGGCAACUUGUUGCGUCUGUUACUCAACGCUGCAUGUCUCCCUUCUAUUACGCGGCAGUUGGUUUCGGCUGGCUGUCGCCUUAUGGUGAG